rnacentral:rRNA from 1 species
ACGCUGGCGGCAGGCCUAACACAUGCAAGUCGAGCGGCAGCGGAAAGUAGCUUGCUACUUUGCCGGCGAGCGGCGGACGGGUGAGUAAUGUCUGGGAAACUGCCUGAUGGAGGGGGAUAACUACUGGAAACGGUAGCUAAUACCGCAUGACCUCGAAAGAGCAAAGUGGGGGAUCUUCGGACCUCACGCCAUCGGAUGUGCCCAGAUGGGAUUAGCUAGUAGGUGAGGUAAUGGCUCACCUAGGCGACGAUCCCUAGCUGGUCUGAGAGGAUGACCAGCCACACUGGAACUGAGACACGGUCCAGACUCCUACGGGAGGCAGCAGUGGGGAAUAUUGCACAAUGGGCGCAAGCCUGAUGCAGCCAUGCCGCGUGUGUGAAGAAGGCCUUAGGGUUGUAAAGCACUUUCAGCGAGGAGGAAGGCAUCAUACUUAAUACGUGUGGUGAUUGACGUUACUCGCAGAAGAAGCACCGGCUAACUCCGUGCCAGCAGCCGCGGUAAUACGGAGGGUGCAAGCGUUAAUCGGAAUUACUGGGCGUAAAGCGCACGCAGGCGGGUUGUUAAGUCAGAUGUGAAUCCCCGCGCUUACGUGGGAACUGCAUUUUG